rnacentral:rRNA from 1 species
AAUAUAUUUUUAAUUUAUAUUAAAUAUAAAAAUAUAUUUUUUAAAAAAAAAGACGACAAGACCCUAUUAAACUUUACUUAUGUUAAACUGGGGCAGUUAUUUAAUAAAAAUUUUAAAUUAAAUAUUUAUCAACAAAUUUCUAAUAAAAUUAAAUUAAUCAAGUUACUAUAGGGAUAACAGCGUUAUAUUUUUUAAAAGCUCAUAUUAAAAAAAUUGAUUGCGACCUCGAUGUUGAA